rnacentral:rRNA from 1 species
CAGCAGUAGCCACGGUAAUACGUAGGGUGCGAGCGUUAAUCGGAAUUACUGGGCGUAAAGCGUGCGUAGGCGGUGAGUUAAGUCUGCUGUGAAAUCCCCGGGCUCAACCUGGGAAUGGCAAUGGAUACUGGCAAGCUAGAGUGUGUCAGAGGAUGGUGGAAUUCCCGGUGUAGCGGUGAAAUGCGUAGAGAUCGGGAGGAACAUCAGUGGCGAAGGCGGCCAUCUGGGACAACACUGACGCUGAGGCACGAAAGCGUGGGGAGCAAACAGGAUUAGAUACCCCUGUAGUCCCUGUCUCUUAUAC